UACGGAGGGUGCGAGCGUUGUCCGGAAUCACUGGGCGUAAAGGGCGCGUAGGUGGCGCGGGCAGUCAACGGUGAAAGUUCGGGGCUCAACCCUGAAUCGGCCGUCGAUACUCCCGGGCUUAAGCACUGUAGAGGCAGAUGGAAUUCCGGGUGUAGCGGUGGAAUGCGUAGAGAUCCGGAAGAACACCGGUGGCGAAGGCGGUCUGCUGGGCAGUAGCUGACACUGAGGCGCGACAGCGUGGGGAGCAAACAGG
rnacentral:rRNA from 1 species